rnacentral:rRNA from 1 species
UACGAAGGGGCUAGCGUUGUUCGGAAUUACGUGGGCGUAAAGCGCGCGCAGGCGGUCUUCCAAGUCAGUGGUGAAAGCCCGGAGCUCAACUCCGGAACUGCCAUUGAAACUGUUGGACUUGAGUACGAGAGAGGUGAGUGGAAUUCCCAGUGUAGAGGUGAAAUUCGUAGAUAUUGGGAAGAACACCGGUGGCGAAGGCGGCUACACUGGCUCGUAACUGACGCUCAGGCGCGACAGCGUGGGGAUCGAAACAGG